rnacentral:rRNA from 1 species
UACGUAGGGUGCGAGCGUUGUCCGGAAUUAUUGGGCGUAAAGAGCUCGUAGGCGGUCUGUCGCGUCGAUCGUGAAAACUUGGGGCUUAACCCUGAGCUUGCGGUCGAUACGGGCAUGACUGGAGUUCGGCAGGGGAGACUGGAAUUCCUGGUGUAGCGGUGAAAUGCGCAGAUAUCAGGAAGAACACCGGUGGCGAAGGCGGGUCUCUGGGCCGAUACUGACGCUGAGGAGCGAAAGCGUGGGGAGCGAACAGG